GUUCUCCAAUGCACUACACUCUUAACAACAAAAUGUGGCAGCCGAGCACACAGCACAUCCUGACGCUGAUCCUCUGCAGCAGCCUUUGCCUAAUCAGCGCGAGUCCUCUUCCACAUCCCGCAGGCAAUCAGGAAUUAGAUGUGCUUCAAAUACCUUUGACUAACGGAAAGGAAAUCGAUGUCUUGACACUUGGCGCAAAAGAUCAAGAUCAAUUGAUAGCCGAUCGCAACAAAAGAACUAUUGGACUGCUGCGCGAACUAUUUCCCGACAUCACAAAGCAAAUCGAUGAGCAAGCGAACCGCAUCAUCUCCAAGCUGCUGCGAACUUUAGGUCCAACUGUUCUACGCACCGCCAUCCAGGGCAAUAGCGCGAAUGCGGCACGCGAAACCUUCGAUGCAGACUUUGAUGAUGAUGAUGAUGAUAAUGAUGAGAAGACCAAGAGCGACAACACCGCUGGCAGCAGCGCAAGUGGCACACGAGUCACCAUUGAACUGCCCACCUUUGAGCCCGACAAUGAAAACGAGGUUGAUGCAAAUGAGAAGAGCAGCAGCAUCACGACCACCGCAUCCAAUAGUGAUGCCACCACAGAGGGCGCCACUCGUCGAAAGUAAAAUGUGCGUGUAAUUUGCUACAACAACUAAGCGAUGCAUUCAAAAUUACCAUAUAAAUUGGCACAACUUUUAAUCUGUAUUAAAUUUUGUUCCGUGUUUUCAAAACAGCUACGAAAAUUGGCAAUGCUACAACAACAACAACAACAACAACAACUAAACACAAAAAUAUUAACCGCGCCAUUCACAAUUACUUGAAAUCCGGCAAAAUAGAAAAUAUACUAUAAACAAAAUUAUAUAAGAUGUUAUUAAUACUGGCACUUUUAUGCAAUUCUGUAUUGUUCUAAUGCAUUCAAUAUAUUUUCUCUGUCGAACUAUCCCUCAAUGUUUCUAUUUUCAUUUUCUAUUACUAUCCCUCCAUCUCUCUCUCUCUCUCUCUCUCUUGCUGUCUCUCUCACUCUAUGUCUCUGUAUACGUAUCAAUCUUCAGUUCUCUCCAUAUAUCUCUCUCUAUAUGUCUCUCCUUACAAAAUUUGUUUAUGUAUUUUUACGUUCCUUUCCUUAAAAUAAUAGGUGAUUUUUAUAUUAACAUUUAACUUGUAUUAAUUGUAAAAGUCGUUGUGUGUAUUUUCUAUAUUUUAAAAAUACAAAAAUACUUUUAAUUGUUUGAAUUUGCUGAGCUCAAAUUUAGUGUUUAAGAGUGUAGUCAAAAAUUAUUUUUCGCCCUCGCUCAAGCCCAAUGAGUGCACUAUCAACAUUCAUAAUUCAUGGGUGCGUUCACGAAUUUCACGACCGUAUUCACAACAUUCGCAUGAGCAUCCAUUGCGUUUAUGAAUGCAAUUAUGACAGUAUUUAGUUUUCGAUUAUUCAACUGUUCCACAGGGUAUUCACAUUGGAAAUCAUUCGUUCGCAUUUUCGGUAUCAUUAAAACACGCAUUCUCAACUCGAUUCUUUUAAGUUCAGUGAACAUUUGCUUUGUUCGAUAAAGAGCUUUUUUACAACUAAGAUAAAUAUUCUAAAUUUUACAAAUUAGUUUUUUGAAAAUUUUAGACGUGUUUUAUCUUCUAUAUAUUCUAGAUUGACUAAAAAUUCCAAUGUCAAAUUAAGCCAUAGAAAAUUUUCUACUUCUUGUAGACAGUAAAAUGUAUUCUGUUUUUUUUUUUGACCGUAAUGUAUAAAUAGUGUUUUUCAAUAAGAGGAUGAUGCGUUUUUUAUAAAUUAAUUAACGUAAAACUAAAUCAAGUUCCGUUUUUAGUUUGUAACUAACUAUAUUCUAUACCUGAUCUGAUAAAUUGUCUAUAAGCUGUAAAAUCUUGUACUCAGUUUUAAAAAGGUUCUUUUAGUUUCGCGUAGAGAUGUUCUGUGUUAUUGGAGAACCAACUUUUUCAGCGCAAUAUUUGAACGCUCUCUCUAACAUUUUCACUCUGUCGCUGCUCUGAUAUCCAUGGUCUAAGCUUAGAAUUUAUUUUGCUUUCUGUGGCGUUAAUAUUCCUGUAUUGAUUGCCCAUUUAUCUAUCUGCCUAUGUUUUCUUUUUUGUUUAUUUUGAAUCUUUUUUUCUUUAUUUUCAUGUUCCAUUAAACCGAUUCGAUUUGUGCAAAUAACCAAAAACAAUAAUAUAAACCUAAAACAACAAAACUGAAAAAAAAAAACAAAAAAAAUGAUAUGAAAUCUAUAUAUCCAAAUCGAAAAACUCUUUCGCAAUGAUAUCAUCAACUGCAAUUUAAAAUAUAAUAAUCAAUAUAAUAACGUUAUAAAUCGAAAAAUAUUGUAAAAUGUAUACAAAAAUACACCAAUUGCAUUUGUGCACGUGCAUUUUUUCAUCACCAAUUAAUCAAUCAAAUAUUUGAAUGACAAAAUCGUAUACGAAACUGGCCAAACCCGUAACCCAUAAUGCCAAACAAAAUGUGGAACAAUCCCUUAAAUAACAAUAAUCUCCUGCCUAACAUUAUGUAAUCGAAAAAUUAACACACACACACACACACACACACAUUGACCAAUGACCUAUGUCACUUUACCUACACAUUACACCAAACUCUGUAUUCAUGCUACUUCAAACCCACCACACACACACACACACAAACACACACACACACACACAUAUUACACACAAACAAAUACGAAUGCAUAAACUUAACACUAUGCGUACGCUACAUUGCGCCAAAUCCCGUGUUACGCAAACCAAUCAAUCCACCGCAAACCGCAACUCGCAACUCGCAACACGCAUACACUGAAUCCAAAUGUAUCACACAUACCAAAUGCACAUAAUCAACUCGAAAUUCGAAAUUCGAAAUUCUUUACAAUGCUACAAAUGCCCAUACAAAUGAAAUCCGUUGCAACGAUUCUGCGACACAAUUCUACGGGCAAACCAAUUCCGAUCAUAGAACGGUGCCACCGAUACAAAAAUCGAUCUGUCGGCUAUUAAUAAACAACUUGAGGAGACCAUAAGAGUUGCGCGCCAGGUGAAAGAAGCAGAGGCAGCAGCCGCUGCAGUAGCCCAAUCGCUAAGCUCACCUGUGGCCCAGGCUCCCAUUCCUCUCAAGUCCAACGAGCCCAUUCAGCUGAGCUUUAACAAUGAACUGUCAACGGUUAAUACCGGUAGCAGCAGUACCAGCAGUAGCAGCAGCAACAUUGGAUCCACCGAUGUCAAAGCGCUGAGCACUAACGAUUUGCAGCUAUCAGAAUCGAAAUCCCCGGCCAUAGAUGAGUUGUCGUUGGACUCUGUGGAAGAUACAGCCGAUCUGGAUGAUCGCAACAAGAGUAAUUUAUUUAAAAGGUUCCUGAGUUUCGGAGGUGCUGGUCUGGCUGGCGGCUCCAGCGGCGGCAGUUCGGGAGCUUCGCCUAGUGGCAACAGUUUGGGCGGCGGCGGCGGCGGUUCCGGUAACUUUUUGCUGGAUGUGGUGCGCCUAUUCUCUGGUAGUGUGCAGACCCAGCAGGGCGACGAGGCCGCCAAUAGCGUCGGCGGCGGCUCCAGCAGCAGUAGCACAGAUGAC